GGCAGUAUGGUGUAAAGCUGCACAUGGGUCUCUCUUGCCACACGACUUUGACAAGGGCUAUUCCCAAGGACCUUGUUCGAAUCAAGGUGCUGCUC